AUUCUCAACCUACUGACAUGGACACCAACACUCCAGUCCAUCUCUCUACAACCAAAGAUUCUUCUCCAGAUGCACCCAUCAAAGGUCAUGGACCCUGGAUGUUAAUGUCCUAUAAAAAUAGAAAAAUGAACAGUGCUAAAGCUCCUAGCAAUCUUGCCGCUACUAAACCAGGUUCCAUAUUUGCCAUCCUGCAAACUUAUAAUGCUGAAGGUGAGAAUGCUAUGCAGGAAGAACCAUUUAUACAGGAUGAUCAAGUUAGCAAGCAUGAGAGUUCUUCUGAACUAAAAAUUGUAAAGGUUUGGAAAAAGGUUAAGGAGAAAUUGGCUCAAAAUGGUGAGAAUACCAAAGAGACUACUUCUAAAUCAACCAUUUAUGCUGAGAGUCCACCCAAGAGUACUGUGAUCAAUUCCAGCAAAGUCAAUGUGGCUCUUAAGGAUAUUACUAAUGACAAAUCUCCUGCUGUUAUUGGAAUCAGGAAGACUAAUACUACUAAGACAUCAGAUGUUAAGUCUUCCGUCCCACCUCAGCCCAAGAAACACUCUAUUUUGAAGCAUGAUCCAGCUAGGAAACCUCCAUUUCCAAGUUUAAAUUCUCUGAUCAAUGGUACUCAUGUUUCUCCUUCCUCCUAUAAGAAUCCUAAUUCAUUUGGACACAGUCCUCCUAUAAUUCUUGAGCUUGGUGGUUCUAAUCCAUCUUCUAUGAAUAUUCCUCAAGGUGGUAAUACUUGCAGUGGCCCGGUUUGUUCUGACCCUGUUAUGAAUACUAGUACUUCUGAUAAUGACCAGACUACAGCUAGUGGUAGUUCGGGUUUGCCCUCUAGUAUGGAGGGUAUGGCUGAAAAUUAACCUUUGGGAUUAUAUCCCACUCUCCUACUUUGUUCAAAUGAUUAAAAUUCUAUUUUGGAAUUCUAGAGGUGCAGGUAGUGAGAAGUUUAGAUAUGAUAUUGUAGAUCUUGUUAAGAUAUAUAAUGUUGAUAUUCUUGCUGUGUGUGAACCUAGGGUUCAGUUUGCGAAAGCUAAAAAUACUCUCUUGGCCCUUGGUUUUACUGAUCAUAAAAUUGUUGAAGCAAAUGGUUUUUCUGGAGGCUUAUGGCUUUUAUGGGAUAGUGCAAAGUUUUCUGUUGAUUUUGUUGAUGCUAGUUCCUAGGCCAUUACCAUUAAAAGUUCUAUUCCUAGACAUCCUCCUUGGAUGCUAACCACUCUUUAUGCAAGUCCUACAAACUCUGUUAGAUUGCUGGAAAUAUUAGUAAUAUCUGUGGUUCCCCUCUUACUUCUGAUUUGGGAAAAUACCUUGGUAUGCCUUUAAUCCACUCAAGAGUUAAUAAAUAUACAUAUGCCUCUAUUCUUGAUAAAGUUCAAGAUAGACUCUCUAGUUGGAAGUGUAAGAUUUUAAGCUUUGCUGGAAGAUUGACUCUAAUUCACUCCGUGAAUGCUACUAUUCCCAAUUAUGCCAUGCAAACUGCAAAGCUCCCGAUGUCUAUAUGUGAUGAUUUGGAUAAGCUAAAUAGGAACUUUUUGUGGGGUGGCUACGACGAAAAGAAGAAAAUUCAUCUCAUAAAUUGGGACACUGUUUGUUUGCCUAAGAACUUUGGUGGUUUGGGCAUUAAAAAAACAUCUAAUAUGAAUCAGGCUAUGCUUGCAAAAGCUAGAUGGAGACUCCACAACAAUGAUUCUGGAUUGUGGGCUACAAUUUAUAGGGAAAAAUACCUUCAUAGUGCCAAUCUUGUUGAUGACUCUUAUGUUGUCCCCAAGGAUUGUUCCAGUACAUGGAGAAGUAUUGUUCAUGGGCUAAUCUUCUUAAACAAGGCUUGACCUGGAGAGUUGGAGAUGGAAAAUGAAUUAAUUUCUGGUCUGAUAUGUGGCUGCCUCCUUUUUCCCUUCAGAAUCAUAUUCUUCCUUCUGCCUCCUUUAAUCCUACUGAUAAAAUUUAUAACUUUUGGGAUGACCAUGGUUGGGACAUUGAUAAAUUAACUGCUUGUCUUCUUCAACAUAUUAUUGACCAGAUUAAUCGUAUUCCUCCUGGCUUUGAUGAAUGUGGAGAAGAUAAACAAAUUUAGGGGUAUACGUCUAAUGGUAUCUUUAGUGUAAAGUCUGCUUAUGCUAUUUUCUUUGCAUCCUAUUGUCAGGAUAACUCUCCAUGGAAAUUCAUUUGGAAAUUGCAGCUUCCUCCCAAAUUGAAGACAUUCACAUGGAUUGUUUGCCAUGGCAAACUCUUAACAAAUGUUCAAAGAGCCAAAAGGAAUUUGACCAAUGACAAUUGUUGUCCUUUAUGCCAUCAAGCUCCUGAGACUCUUGCUCACCUAUUUUGAGAUUGCCCUGCUGCUCAAUUGAUAUGGAAUUCUUUCAAGAUACCAUCUUGAGUGGCUAAUACUUUUCAAAUGAGUUGGAAUGGUUGGCUUAUGGCUCAUCUUCUGUGCAAGGAAUGGUAAUUCUGGCAAAAUUGGAGCAGGUGGUAUUAUCAGAUGUUCUUCUGGUACUUGGAUCAAAGGCUUUCAGGCCAAUUUGGGCAUUGGAGAGGUUUUACAUGCUGAAUCAUGGAGCUGAUACUAUGGUUUGAAACAAGCUAUUUCUUGUGGUAUUGAUAUGCUGGAAAUCGAAUCUGAUUCGACUCUUUUGGUCAAACUUGUUCUCGACAGUGAUACUACAUUGCACCCUCUUGGCUCUCUGAUUUCUUGCUGCAGAACUUUGCUUGGGAGAUUCAGUUCUGUUUCUCUUAAUCAUAUUUAUAGAGAGUGCAAUAUGGUGGCUGACUGCUUAGCCAAAAACAGUAUUAACCAUGACUAUGGAGUGAUCGAAUUUGCCGACCCUCCUCCUCAUGCUCUGCAGGCUUACUUGGAUGAUCUGGAUUCUAUUAGUACAUCUCGAAAGAUGAAAAUUGGGCAUGAUUCUGAUGCUGUUUAGUUAGCUUUUUCUUUUUUCUUUUGCUGGCCUUUCUGGCCCCUUGUUAACCAAAAAUAUAUAUAUAUAUAUAUAUAUAUAUAUAUAUAUAUAUAUCUAUCAUUGCCUUGAUUUAUAUUGGUUGCAUAUAAAUGGUUCUUGUUUUAGUCUGAUGCUACUGGUCUUUGACAUACGUUUUUGA